AAAAAAAUCGUCCGCAAUUGUAGACGAUUUCAACCCCAAGACCUCCUAUUCGAUAAAACCUAAUAUCUCCCUCCCUCACGCAGCUCUCGCAGCCCACUACUAUCUCUCACGCUAUUCUUGCAGCUCUCUCCGUCUCUCAGGCUCUCGCAGAGAUGAAGCCCGUUUAGAUCGAGAGUUUGCAGAAUUUGGGCUCGAUGACAAAGACCCUCCAGAAGAUGACUUCAAUCCGGAUCAUCAACACUAUAAUGGCUCUUCAUCUUCAUCUAGUCAAAGGAACCGAACAAGAGAAAUGAAUGAAGUUAGGAUACGCCUUGCUAAUGCGUUGGCUGUGAAGGAAACACCACAACCAAUAUGAAGAAAGUGUGUUUAAGUAUUUUGAUGAAACUACUUUGAUGAAGCUUUUGGUUAUUUUAUUUGUUUAUUUUUUAAUUAAUUUGAGUUUUGUAGUAAAAAAAAUGUGAUACUAUUGUUGGAUGUUUAAAAACCUGUGAUUUGACAAACUUAACCUGAACGAUGAUGGGAAAUAGUAUGCACUGGACUGAACGAGUGUUAAUUGGUUCUUACUAUAUUUGCAAUGGAACCUGGAAUUUUGUAGUAUUCAUACCAAAAUUCUAUGUUAUUGUAUUGUAAACUUUAUUUUUAAUUUUUAAUUUUUUUUAACCUUGAUACCAUUUUUCA